CCUACGGGAGGCAGCAGUGAGGAAUAUUGCGCAAUGGAGGCAACUCUGACGCAGCCAUGCCGCGUUCAGGAAGAAGGCGCUACGCGUUGUAAACUGCUUUUAACCGGGAAGAAACCCCAGGACGUGUCCUGGGUUGACGGUACCGGAGGAAUAAGCACCGGCUAACUUCGUGCCAGCAGCCGCGGUAAUACGAAGGGUGCAAGCGUUAUCCGGAUUCAUUGGGUUUAAAGGGUGCGUAGGCGGGGUGGUAAGUCAGUGGUGAAAGCCUGCGGCUCAACCGUAGAAUUGCCAUUGAUACUGCCAUUCUUGAGUAGGCUCGACGUGGGCGGAAUGUGCCGUGUAGCGGUGAAAUGCUUAGAUAUGGCACAGAACACCGAUAGUGAAGACAGCUCACGAGGGCCAAACUGACGCUGAGGCACGAAAGCGUGGGGAUCGAACAGGAUUAGAUACCCCGGUAGUCUAA
rnacentral:rRNA from 1 species